GACGAACGCUGGCGGCGUGCUUAACACAUGCAAGUCGAACGGUAAGGCCCUUCGGGGUACACGAGUGGCGAACGGGUGAGUAACACGUGGGUGAUCUACCCUGCACUUCGGGAUAAGCCUGGGAAACUGGGUCUAAUACCGGAUAGGACCACUGCCUGCAUGGGUGGUGGUGGAAAGCUUUUGCGGUGUGGGAUGGGCCCGCGGCCUAUCAGCUUGUUGGUGGGGUGAUGGCCUACCAAGGCGACGACGGGUAGCCGGCCUGAGAGGGUGACCGGCCACACUGGGACUGAGAUACGGCCCAGACUCCUACGGGAGGCAGCAGUGGGGAAUAUUGCACAAUGGGCGCAAGCCUGAUGCAGCGACGCCGCGUGAGGGAUGACGGCCUUCGGGUUGUAAACCUCUUUUAGCACCGACGAAGCGCAAGUGACGGUAGGUGCAGAAGAAGGACCGGCCAACUACGUGCCAGCCGCCGCAGUAA
rnacentral:rRNA from 1 species